GCCUGUCUAGCUCCGUCAGUAGACCGUGAGACUCUUGAUCUCAGGGUUGUGAGUUCAAGCCCCACGUUGGGCA
rnacentral:tRNA from 1 species